CAUGGUUGUAACAAAUAAGCUGAUGGAGGUGUUUCCAAAGCUGCAAGAAGGGGGAGGCUUUGAGUUUCUAAAAAUUGCAGGAUCUACUCGCAGUCGAAAUCUUGGACUUCUUCAAUGUCCCAGCACAGGAUACACCCUUGCCUAUCUAAAAGAUCCAUCUACAACAAUUGGACAGGCUACAAUUUACAUACGCCCACUUCAACAGGACCUACCUAUUGAUUCAGAAAGCUCGGGACAUGCCUCUGGUCCAGCCAUCUCAUGUAUCACUUGUCAGAAGGAGGUUCCCUUCUCUGAAAUGAAACUGCACCGAGCUAACUGUGAUGGGACCCCCAUGCAGGAAACACAUAGAGAA